CAACAAGCGAAAGGAGGUGGUCGAAUGUCUCAUUGUCCCAUGCCCUGUGCGGCAGAAUGGAGCCCGGCCAACCCUGCGGCGGCCUGCGGCAAACAAGUCUCCGCAUAGCUGAGACAAUGGAAGGGCCGUCCUGACCGGGCGGCCCU
rnacentral:sRNA from 1 species